GUUAGGGUUAGGUUGUGAUUUAACAGACAGUGGGACAACAUGCUCUCUGGUGCUUAUUGAUCCCUCCCUGGAGAUUCCUUUUCACUAUGUACUGUUGCUUGGUAUUUGGCCCACAGUUUCUUC